UACGAAGGGGCAAGCGUUAUUCGGAAUGAUUGGGCGUAAAGAGCACGUAGACGACCUGGAAGCCCUGCCCUGCAAGCUCAAGAGUCAAUGUUGAGAGAGGGGUGAGAGGGCGACCAUGAAAGAGGCUCCUGGAGGCCUUUGGAAUUCCUGAGGGAGCGGUAGAAUGUGUUGAUCUCAGGAGGAACCUCGGCGGCGAAGGCGAGAGGCUAUGGGAGACCUGACGUUGAGGUGCGAAAGCGUGGGGAGCAAAAGGG
rnacentral:rRNA from 1 species